UACGAAGGGGGCUAGCGUUGCUCGGAAUCACUGGGCGUAAAGGGCGCGUAGGCGGCGUUUUAAGUCGGGGGUGAAAGCCUGUGGCUCAACCACAGAAUGGCCUUCGAUACUGGGGCGCUUGAGUAUGGUAGAGGUUGGUGGAACUGCGAGUGUAGAGGUGAAAUUCGUAGAUAUUCGCAAGAACACCAGUGGCGAAGGCGGCUCACUGGCCCGGUACUGACGCUGAGGCACGAAAGCGUGGGGAGCAAACAGG
rnacentral:rRNA from 1 species